CCCUGACCGCGUGCUAGCUACCACGUCAAAUAUUACACGUAAUUAAACGUGGUUUGUGGUUAUGGAAGAUGAAUUACUGUAAUUAGGACAAAGUAUGUGAGUGGAACCAAAAAUGUGCACAGCAAGACAGACAAAGCACCGCUCAAGGCGUAAAGAAGAAAUGCUGUCCCUUCCUCCCAACUUCCACAGUUUGUUGGUCGGAAUUGGACGGUGUAAAUUGACCUCGUGAGGAAGCGUUUGACGAUGUUGCGUGCGUGAUGCGCAUAAAAAAGACGGGCGCACCCAUUAUCAAGGCGUACCCACUGGUGUGUGGUGAAGUGACAGUCAUGAACAUGCAUUAAUCUCGGCCCAUUGCGGCCCACCAGUGCCGGAGCAGACCCAUUAUGCCCCUUCUCGCGUCGCGCUUGCCCCAAAUGGCGCGCAGUGGUGGGGGCAGGUCGUUCCAGCAUCGGGACGCCGCGAAACGAAAGGAACCCCGAAAUGCAACAGUGCGGUGCUUGGGCGUGGCAAA